rnacentral:rRNA from 1 species
AUGCCGGCGUCAUCCUCUACCCGAAGCUCCGCCGCAUGUUGUGUCGCUACACCGUCCACAAGCAGCUCUCGGCACCAUCCUACAUCUUCAGACUUCCGCCCCGUCAAGCAGGAUAAUGUAGAAGACUUGAGAGACGAGCUGAGUACGAUGCAUUUGUUCAUGAAGCAAAAAUUCGCUGAAGAGAAAUGGACAAAUAAAAUUGUAACCGUGGGAAGUGAUGAAGUUGAUUUCAGCGGAAGAGUUGUUGGCAGUGACCUACCACAUGAAGAAUCAUAUGACAGUGUGCAUGCUCCACAGAAUGUUAUGCAGAUGAUGCAAUAG